AAUUAAUGAGCUUGUAUUAAGCAUUUGUUUUGAAAACUUAUAAAAGAAUAAUUAUUCUAUUAAUUU
rnacentral:tRNA from 1 species